rnacentral:misc_RNA from 1 species
UUUGGAGUGCCAUCCGGUGUUCCACGUUAGUCUCCUUAAACCUUACCACGCAGAUGAAGAGGACCCGGCCAGGAAUAAAUCUAAACGGGCACCAGUAGCUAUAACGAGGAGUUUUGAGCAUGAACCCGAAGAGAUUUUGAUGCACCGAGUGGUUCCACAGUGGGGCGCUCAUCCUGGAUACACCGAGUACUUGGUAAGAUGGAAAGGUCGUGCGGUUGAGGAGACUAGUUGGGAACACGA